rnacentral:lncRNA from 1 species
GGGGCCGGUUCCGGGCAUCCCGCAGCGCCAGCAGCGUCCCGGCUCGCUCCGUGGGGCUCCCAGAGCUCCUGCUCGGCCGCUCCGCGCAGAGGUGCCAGGCCGGGCUGCCACGCACGGGCCGGGCUCGGGGUUUGCGGCCGGGCCCCGAAUCGAGGCGUUUUGCGGUGGUUUCGGUGAGCAUGAGGCUUCUCCACCCCCGCGCUGCCAGGAAGCGGCUCUUGAUGGGAAAAGGGGUAAUUAGCCCCGAUAAUGGAGGCGAUUAUCCCCUCGAGGAGCGGGCGCCCAUUAGAGGGGACRCGUUGCCCUGGCGGCCGCGUGCGCGUGUCCGGGGGCCGGGAGCGUCUCACGUGUCCGGCGCUGGGACCUGCUGGUGCCCGGCUCCAGGUCCCGGAGCAGCCGCGGUGCUUGUGUGGUUGGACGUUUGGGACCGGUGCUUUUAGCUACCGUCCGUGUUUCCUGUCCCCGAACCGCGUCGGCUUGCUCCCGCGACGCGGGCGGAUCAGGGGGGGAUCCGUGGGGGAUUCGGGGGGAGCCCUGCUUGGCCCCACAGCCGGGCUCCGCCGGCUCCUACCUGCCCUGGGCGCGAAGGGGCUGUGGGCGGCCGGGCCCGGCUCCGCUGGUGCUCCGGACGUCCGUCCCGCUCCGGCCGGCUCCGCUCCGCCGUCUCGCCGCUGGGUGGGAGGGAAAGGGCAGAGGGGGGCGAGUGCCCGGCCGCAGGGCUUUGUCCCUGCCAGGGAGCGUCGGGGGACCCGGGGGGGUGGCGCAGAUGGGGAUGCGGCUGCUCCCGGGGGAGCCGGGGCGGCGGGGCAGAGGGAGGGGAGGGGGCCGGGGCCGGGAGCCAUCCCACCUCUCGGGGCUUCGUCGCUGCCGCGGUUGGGUCCCCGCCGGGGCUCUGGGCGGCUCUGCGCUGCCGUCGCCGUCCGCACCCUGCGCAGGGAGCCGGGGCUGAGCCGGGGCCGGGACGCGUCCAGGAGCACCGGGACGCGCCUGGGAUGUGGCACUGCCAUCCCCCCCUCACCUGCGCAGCACGGCAGGGCUCUGGCGUCCGUCCGCAGAGCGGGCUGGGCAGGCCGGCGUCGGCCGCGGCGCCCUGCGG